GCCACGGUCAGGCCCAGGCUCGCCCGCUCUGCCCGGCUCACUCUCUGCCACUCUUCGGAGCUGCAGACCCCCGGAGCAGAAGGCUGGGCCAGGACAUAGAAUCCAAUGCAAAACCUCUCUCUCUCUCCUGGCUUGCUGAUGGAGAGCACCCCGGGAUGACUGAAGAGCAGAGAGAAUCACCCUCCUCAUGGCUUCCAGUAAGCAUGCUCAGAUGUCAGCGCUGGAGGCUAUGUGGUUGAGAAGAGAUCCCAGAUGGAAAGAACAGGGAGUCAGGCAGACUGUG